GUGCUAGUUUAAGCAGCACAUACACUAAAAUUGGAAGGAUACAGAAGAUCAUCAUGGCCCCUGCGCAAGGAUGACACACAAAUUCGUGGUGUUCCAUGUUAAA
ensembl:snRNA U6 U6 spliceosomal RNA